rnacentral:lncRNA from 1 species
GGCUUAGUUGCAUAUAUUGUUUUAUUGAAAACUCUCGAUAUUGUUUAUACAUGUUCUAAAUUUUGCUUCUUAUGUUUUAAAUAUUACUUACAUAGGCUACUGAAAUAAGAACAUUGGUGAGUAUAACAGUGCUGUUUGGGUUAAGUCUAUUUAUAUUUAGUGGUAAAAAAUUAUCUAAUUCUUGUAGAAAAGGAAAAAAAGAACUAUAUUGAAAUUUUAUAUAUUAUAAUUAUUUUUCUUGCAAAAUCUCUAUUUUUAAUUAAUUAUAUAAGCAUGAUAUAAUU